rnacentral:lncRNA from 1 species
GAUGAUUUUGAUGUUAGGAACUUUAAGACUGUAUAGUUGUAAAGAAGAUUAAUUUUUCAGUAGAACUUUUUACAAGUUACAUUGUUAUACCUCAAAUGGAAGAAAUGCUCACUUUCCAUUUUGUUGUUGUUAUUUAUAAUACAUAGUUCUGAUGAAGAAAUAUGAGCCAUUUAGUGUAUGAAGACCGUAGGCAUACAUUGUGUCACCAUUUCCCAGUAUGGGAAGGGUGUUUUAUCUAGUGGGUUGUUUCUUUUAAUAAUGAAUGUUGUUAUUUGUGAAUUGUUGAAAAUAAAAAUAUGCAAUAGUAAAAAUAUUAAAAACCAACCAGACAGAUAAUGCUGUUUUUCUUUAUUUGAAAUGAAAC